GAAUCUUACCGGGUCCGGACAUAUCGAGGAUUGACAGACAGUUACCAUGCCCUUUCGAAAGGAGUCAGGUUUUAAACCUAAUGGCUCUUUCAUGAUUAUAUGAUAGGUGGUGCAUGGCCGUUCUUAGUUCGUGGAGUGAUCUGUCUGCUUAAUUGCGUUUCAAAUUUUUAUUUGAGGACC
rnacentral:rRNA from 1 species